CGCGCAGCGCCAGUCGCAGAGGAAGAUGGCGCCGCGGAGGGUCAGGUCGUUUCUGCGCGGGCUCCCGGCGCUGCUACUGCUGCUGCUCUUCCUCGGGCCCUGGCCCGCGGCGAGCCACGGCGGCAAGUACUCGCGGGAGAAGAACCAGCCCAAGCCGUCCCCGAAACGCGAGUCCGGAGAGGAGUUCCGCAUGGAGAAGUUGAACCAGCUGUGGGAGAAGGCCCAGCGGCUGCAUCUUCCUCCCGUGAGGCUGGCCGAGCUCCACGCUGAUCUGAAGAUACAGGAGAGGGACGAACUCGCCUGGAAGAAACUAAAGCUUGACGGCUUGGACGAAGAUGGGGAGAAGGAAGCGAGACUCAUACGCAACCUCAGUGUCAUCUUGGCCAAGUAUGGUCUGGACGGGAAGAAGGACGCUUGGCAGGUGACCAGCAACUCCCUCAGUGGCACCCAGGAAGAUGGGCUGGAUGACCCCAGGCUGGAAAAGCUGUGGCACAAGGCGAAGACCUCUGGGAAAUUCUCCAGCGAAGAACUGGACAAGCUCUGGCGGGAGUUCCUGCAUCACAAAGAGAAAGUUCACGAGUACAACGUCCUGCUGGAGACCCUGAGCAGGACCGAAGAAAUCCACGAGAACGUCAUUAGCCCCUCGGACCUGAGCGACAUCAAGGGCAACGUCCUGCACAGCAGGCACACGGAGCUGGAGGAGAAGCUGCGCAGCAUCAACCAGGGCCUGGACCGCCUGCGCAGGGUCAGCCACCAGGGCUACAGCACUGAGGCCGAGUUCGAGGAGCCCAGGGUGAUUGACCUGUGGGACCUGGCGCAGUCCGCCAACCUCACGGACAAGGAGCUGGAGGCGUUCCAGGAGGAGCUCAAGCACUUCGAAGCCAAAAUCGAGAAGCACAACUACUACCAGAAGCAGCUGGAGAUUGCGCACGAGAAGCUGAGGCACGCAGAGAGCGUGGGCGACGGCGAGCGUGUGAGCCGCAGCCGCGAGAAACACGCCCUGCUGGAGGGGCGGACCAAGGAGCUGGGCUACACGAAUCGGCGUCUUAACAGUCUCCAGUGUCCACGCGUUGACUGCCGUGUGUGACUCCAGUCGGCGUCUCAACAGUCUCCAGUGUCCACGCGUUGACUGCCGUGUGUGACUCCAGGAAACUGCGGGGGAAGGAUCACUUGAACGCAGGAGGCUGAGGCUGCACGUCACAGGGAGAGACGGGCCGCGGUGAUGUACGAGCUUCCUGUUGAUAGGCAGUUAAGUUGGUUCAGGAUAACGUGGCCUGCCUGGCACGGGUAUUCCCAGAGUCACAGAUGCUCACCCGUGCCAGCGUUGGCUGCUUGGGACAUGGGGACGGCGAGGUCCCCACACCCCACAUGUGAGCUGCUGGUAGCUGGGCUGAGCCCAGGUCCCAUCCGUGUGUGGGGCGUGAGUGUGCGGUGCCAUCGGGUCUGCACGGGCCCCGCCUCAUCCCAGAUGCUCCAGGCUUCCUGCGGCACAGGUGCCGAGAGGGACCAGCCUGGGCCUGCUGAACAGAGGGGGUGGUCUAGGGCAGAGGCUCCUGCUCUGACAAAAGGGAAGGUGACAGGCAGGAGCACCAGGAGGGACAGCACGAGGACAGGGCGUGGGGUGGCAGCCGAAUGGGUGGUGUAGCUCGAGGGCAGUGGGCCAAGGCCGGGGCAGUCUCAGGCCCAGGGAUGGAAGCCCCAUGCAGGCACAGGUUGGAGUCCUGGGUGCCUGAGACACGAUGGCCCGUGUGCUCCACCUCCUCACAUCUUCAACAGCUUUGCAGAGAUGACCCUGUUGGGCUUUGGCUGCCGGUCACAACUCCAGGGGAAGGUCAGCCUUCCUGUUCAGUUUGUCCAGUCACAGCUCUGGCCUUGAGUGGCUGUCCUGGGCCAAGGGCAGCUGCCCUGAGAUCAGAGCGACCCCGCCUUGGCCAGCAUCAUCCCUUCCCACGGCUCCUCCACCACACAACUGGGACCCAUGGGUGCCAGAUACAGCGUGGGCCAUCACAGCCUCCCCGGGCACUCUGCUGGAGGCCUGGGUGUACCUGAGCCCCAUACCACGCCCCGCCGUGGUGCCCUGGCUAGGUCUGACUCUGACCCCUGCUUCCUGGCUUCCCACAGCCGUGGGACCAGCCCCAGCCCCACAUCCACACUCUUCGUGUGGCCAUUUCCUCAGGACAUGGCCUGGCCACUCCAUCGUGCCGAGAGGAUGUGGCCCAAGGCACACCCAGACACAACUGGGUCUAGGCUCCAAACCCGCCCCCACAGCCCCACGAUCCCAUCAGCAGCAGAGGGGCUGACCCUUUCUCCCACUUUGUGAACAGGAAGCCUGAGCUCCAGCAAGCUAGGGUCACGGGGAGGGGUGGGGCUGUGCCACCCAGGUUGCGUGUCUGAGCUGGUGCAUGUGGCCAGCCCCGGAGGUGGACAUCUCAACUCUGCCACCCUAAGGGCCCGACACGGCUGCAGCCCUGGAUCAGGGUGCAGGCCAUGCCUUGCCCCAACUUGCAGCUGAAAGUCUUGUCCAUGGACCCUCCAGGCUGAGAGCCCAGCCCUGCCCUGUCUGUCAGAAUGCUCCCCAGGGCCUUUGCGUCUAAGCGGGAGAUCUCUGUCCUGGCCCCAGCUGGCUCCGGUUGACCCUGCAUCCUGCCACCUUGACGCCAAGCGUCCUCAGCAGUCACAUGUGGAGCGGGGGCGCCAGGAGGGCCAGUGCUCUGAGCCUGCCCACUGAGGGCCCCGCUGAGCAGCAGUGGCAGCUGCCUGCCAUACCCGGGGCAGGCCAACCACAGACUCUCUGGGUCCUUGGUGGGCUCCUGGGGGAGGGGCGGGGGAAGGACGGGCAGGAAGAUGAAGGAAAGGGACGAAUACGGAUGGAGCCAGGCAGAGCAGAGAGCCCCAUCUCCAGGAGCAAGGCAGGGGGCCCGCCCGGUGCUUCCUCCUGCCACAGGGGUUGAGGGCAUGCAGGACGCCCACCACCUAUGCACAUAGCCCCGUCACCUCACCCACCCCCAAGCCACAGCACCGCAUCGACGCAGGAGGAAGCCCCAACCCCGUGCCACCAAGGAAGGCAGCUCUGCUCGCCCCAACCCCAAGCACCCCCAGGUGAAGACAUCAGACCCAUGUCCAGGAGCAGAAACCAGGAGAGAGAAAAUAGGCAUUGUCAGAAACAGAACAGUCACAAUUUUAAGCUCUUUACAUGACUGGCUGUAAUAGGUCCCAAGAAGUGGAGCAGUCAGGUGGCUGGGAGAGUCCAGGCUCCGUCCCCAGGUGCAGGGUGGCGGUGGCCCAGGCAGGACAGCCGGGAGGCGGGGAGGGGAUGCCGGGAGUGUCUGAGCCGCCAGUCUCAGGAGCGGGCAUGGUGCCGACAGUGGGAGCGGGCACUGGGUCCUGGCUCUACAGGGCCGCAACACCCAGGUGAAGGGAUGAGCAUUUUGCCAGGACACGGCUGUCAUCCGUGCAGUCACCCCCAGGGUGAGAGGGCAGUUUGCCUCCCAGGCACCACAAACCAUGCUCCCAAACUCCUGGGCAGCGGCCUCUGCCUGAGACGCCACAGCAGCGACCAGAGCUGCCUGAUGCCUGGAAGCAGGGCCUCAGUCGGCCUGGGGUCCAGAGCAACUCUUUCAGGCCGAAGGAAGGGUCAGCCCCAGACACCUGCGAGGCAGGAGGCCUGGCCGUGGGCCCUGAAAACUUCCUGUUUGCACCAUGGCCCGGAGACCGGCCAUGCCUGCUCCCGCGACUGGGGGCUCCCUGGGGACCAGACCACGGCCAACAGAAGGGGCCGGCCUGCCGGGGGCCACGGGGCCGCACAGCGCACCGGGUUUGCGGUCAGCUCCUGGCGCUGUGACCUCACUGCGGGGCUGCCUUCCUCUGCUCCAGCUCCGACAGCUGCUCCUCCCGGGCCCGUGCGUGCCACGUCCCCACUCUGUGCGCCGUCUCGGUGGCCGUGAUGUCGAUCUGGGCGUAGAGGGAGGCGCCAGCCCCUGAAAGAAUUCUGCAGUGAGCGGCAGCCUGCGCCCCCGAGCCACCCAGCCUUGUGACCCUGCCCUCCACACCAGUCCCCCAGCCAGGCCCUCGGAAGCAUCUGAGUGGGGACACCUUCAGGGGAUGUGGCCUGGCCAGGGAUGGAGUUGGGGACGUUUGCCUCCUGGGGGGAGGCUGUAGGAAAAGCUCCCUGGCCAAGGACUGCUGGGUGGGGCUGGGGGCUCAGGGCCCUGAGGCUGUGGUCCCAGCCCCCCACUGUCAGGGCUUCCACGCAGGGCGGGGACCCACCUUGGACACCCUCGCUGGCCGCCUGGAGCUCCAGGCCCAUGUAGUGCAGCUGCUUUCUGGAGGAUGGGCUGAUGGGGAUGUUCACGUAAGUGGGCGACUCACCGCGCGGCCUCUCUGGCCCUGGGCUGUCCACAGCCACGGGUCCUGGGGAUCCUGUGGGGGGAGCGGCUGUGAAGACCCGGUGGGGACCGAGAGGGGCACAGAUCCCAAAGAUUGUGCAGUAAAGAGCUGCCCACUCUGCUUAGCCCCUCCUCCCCGCUCCACCUCUCCUGCACCUUGGAGGUUCCCGCUCCAUUUUCCUGACCAUCCAUCUUUGGCCCAGCGCUGCCCCAUCCUGAGGCCCCCCCACACUGUCCACUCCUGGUCCAAGUACCCACAGAGCAGAAGGAAGCGCUGUCCCCUCCACUGUGCCGCCUCCCCUGCAGGAAUUGCCGACCCCCCCAUGGGCCCCCCAAGGCCCACUCUUCUGUCCCUGCGCCCCUCGCCCCGCACCUUCCCAACUCUCUCCACCAACCGCCCCUCCUUGGCUGUCCCAGCACCUUCUCUCCCUAACCCUCCCAGGCCAGCACAGCCCUGCUUUGUCCUGGCCCCCAGCACCUCCCCCUCACUGUCCUCCUGGGUCACCCCCACCUGCUGCAGGCUCCAGGGACCCCCUCCUCUCCUGCACACAGGCCCACGCUCCCUCUGCGUCCCCUCCAGGACACCCAGGUGCCCCACACCCUCUCUCCCCUCAUAGGAGCUACUCCCUUCCCCCCACCCCCUUCCUAAUAGCUGAUGGUUCUGUCUGCAAACCCCAUUGGUGCUGGGGAGGGCAGAGCAGGAGCAGGAUAGGAGGGGACCCCACAGGCCCGGCUGGGUGGGACUUGAGGCAGGCUCCCACCUUAGGGGGUUGGACACACACUGGCCCCUCCUCUGCAGGCCUGAGGGCUCCACACCGUGGGCACCCAGGUCCUACAGGAAGGACCCCGUUCUCCAGUGCCGCCUCCCAUUCUUGUCAUCAGGACCUCGUGAGGGAAUGCACAGCCACGUGAGGCAGGGGAGGUAACAGCAAGUCCCCCCCAUUCCCUGAGCCAGUGGCUGGGAGACACAGUCAAGCCCCACCCACGGUGACCUCCCCACCCCCAGCACACUCCGAGCCCUCAGAAUUCAGGUGGGGGCUGGGAUCCAGGGGGUGACAGCCCUGCAGGUCGGCCUCCCUGAAACACCUGCCUGUCCGGGGGAGGGGCCUGACUCGAGGCUGGGCCUCCCUGCCCCAGGGAUGCAUCCUCAGCAGAUCAGGUUCUCCUGUGGCCACCCGCUGCCCGGCACCUGCUGCAGACAUCCACUCUGCCUGGCUUCUCUCACCCUUGUCCCCGUCACUCUCUGCAGCAGGGCUAGGGGUUAGGAACUUUCACUUGCUUGCUCCCAGUGGGGAAACUGAGGCCAGAGAGACCUGACUCGCUGAUUCUGCAGGCAGCAGCCGGGACAGAGCGAGACGGAGCCCAGGUCAACGAGGGUUCGCUCACCUGAUUCCAUGAACUAAAGCAACCAACACAAUUCUGCCCCAACCCUGCCUGGCCCUGAGGCCCUGGGGAGACCCCCCUCCUGCAAAUGUGUGGUCCUAGAGGGCUGGUCCCCUCGGAAUGCCAGGACCCCUUCAUCGAGAUGAGCCACAGAACAUAGCGGCCAAGUUCUGGUGCCCAGGCAGGCACCUGGGCCAGCAGGGACAGGGCCGGCAGGGCCAGCUGCCUAGAGGAGGGGGCAUGGCUGAGGGGCUGAGGCCAAGAGGGGGUGGUGGGAGAGGCAGGUGGGGUGAGGGCCUGGGGAGAGCUGAGGGAGCGCCGGGGCCUGGCGUCUGGAAAGGGGACCUUGAACCCAAGGGGCAGGGCCGGGGCUUGCCCACGGUGGGGCUGGACACCCCCCUGCAGCCUGGUACCUUGUUUUAGGAUUGCAUCCGUUCUUCCAAGUUUGCUCCCAAGGGUGGGCGGUGAGGGGUGAGGGUGGAAGCAGGAAGGAGCAUGAGGUCUGACUGCAGGGAAAGGGGACGAAUGUUCCCAACACCACUCGGAGUCACACGGGGGCUGUAAGCAGCGCUGGGCCAGCAGUGUGUCCAUAUCUGCAUCUCCCCCAAGGCCACUGGCUCCAGGGCCCUCAGUGCUCCUCCUCCCGUCCCCUCCUUGGGACUUGGAUUUUGCUUCGGCUUCUGUGAGCAUCGCUUCCAGUACCUCGGAUACUCUUUCAGUGAAGCAGCAACCGGGAAUCGGCUGGUCCUUCUGCACCCUCCUCCCAGACCCCGCCCUGGGCUGGUGGCCCGACAUUACCACUUGGGCCUGGCUCACCUCUGUCCCAUGACAGACCCCAGGCGCCCCUCCUGAGUCCCCUGCCUCUGUGGAAAAGAUUCACAUCCUCCAGCAGAUACUGGGCCUGUCCCCUUGAUCCCCACACCUGUGUCCCAGGGCACCCCUGUCUGGGUAAAAGACAUCUGAAGGGUAUGGGUGGCCUCGGGGAGGCAACAGCAGGCUGCCCAGGAGGACCCUUGGGGCAGGGCUGGCCCCACCACCUCUGGUCUGGUGGCCGCCUCAGCACGCUGGACUGCAGGGAUCGGUGUCCAGCCCAGGGCCAAGGCCAACUGGUGGGGGCUUACCCAAGCUGCCCCUGCCUGCCUGUGGCCUCGCCCCCAUCCCUGACUGUCUUCUCCAGGCCUGCCUGGGCCCCUCCCCCAACCCUGGGUGUCCCCUCCAGGCCUGCCUGGACCCUGCCCCCCUGUAGGUGCCACCUGCCUGGGAAGAAGGGAUUGAGGAAUCCAGGGUUCCGCCCGCAGUGGCUCCUAUUCCACAAGGAAACAGGCACAGAACUGGCCCGAUGCCACCCAUCUACCCCAUGCCAGCCGCCCUCACCUCCAGCCUCUCUCAGCCCUGCCCAACCUUCAGCAGGGCUCUGGCCCCAGUGACUGCCAGGCUUCUCUAGGGAGACCCUGGGGAUCUGUACCUUCCCAUUGCCUCCCUGCCUGGCCCUCCCUCCCAACCUGGCCCCAAAACUGCACCUGCCAGGGCACCAAUGCCCUGCCCCUCGCCGAGUCGCUUACCAGCAGCCCAGCCUCCACAGGCCCCCUCCGCUGUCUGAGGACACAGCCCCUCCUCCCUGAGCUGGGGCUCCUCGACCCCAACCCUGACUGCCUUCCUGCCAUGCCCCCUCCCAGGAACAGGUCCACACUCAGGGCUUGGGGGACCCACGGACCCCAGUCUGUGUCUCCCAACCUUCAGUCCAUCCUCCAGCAGCCUGCCCUCUACCCACUGCCCUGCUGUCCACACCUGGGCUGGGACUCACCCCCACUGCCACCCAACACCCACUGCCACCCAGCAACCACUGUCACCUGUCACCCAAUAUCCACUGUCAGCCAACAACCACUUUCACCACAUUGCCCACAUUCCCUGCUGGCAGUGGGCCCCCCACCCUCCCCACCUAGCCAAACUCUGGCUGCCAUCUGCACCCACCCAGACUCCCGCCUCCCUGUCCCCGAGCUCUGGGGGACCUGCUCCAGGUGCCUACCUGAAUGUGCUGUCGCAGGUCCCGGGGCUGAGGCUGCUGCUCCCUAGACCAAAGAGAACCUGGGUCAGUGCAUCCUUCAGUCUUCCCCUCAUCCUGUGCCCGGGGGGCCCCCGAGAACAAGGACACUACCCCCCAAGAGUGACACAGGCUGGGGGACCCGGGCCACCUGCAGGGAGUCCAGCCCACAAUACCUGAUGCCUUCUCUCCAGGGCCCUUUGCCCCACAGCCCCCAGAUCUCCGGGCCACCCACUGCCUUGACCACCCAGCCUGGUGGUAGCCCCCAUAACCACCCAUGGGGGAGCUGGAGGCCUCAGCAUCUGGGAAGGGGGCGGUUCCGAGCCCCGAGGCCCAGUCCAGCCGCACUAUUUUGCUAUUAGAGCUUUACUGGAGGAGGACCGUGCCCAUGCAAGGUAGUGUCUGGGCUCCAACCUCAGAGCUGAGCGGCUGCUCCGAGGGCGCCUGUGAUUUCCUUUCCUGUCCUUGAGGGUGUGGGCCCUGCUCUCAGCAGCUGGCGGGGAAGGCUCCACAGGGGGGUGCCCCUGGAAAAUGCCCCACUGGGAGGCCCCAAGUGAGAUGAGCAAAGUUCCCUGACACUGCAGGUGACCUUCUCCUGGGCCUCUGAAGUGGGCCAUGCCUAACGGGGUGCCCCAAGUCCCUGGAGGAGCCUCUGGUGGGGUCUGAAGGGCGCUUGCAGGAGGGACAGCGGCCCACAGCUGAGCAGAGGCUUCCUGCCCGCCUCCAGCCCGGAUGAGCAGAAGCGGGGCCAGCCCAAGACGAUGUCCCACAUGGGCUCCGGCAGCCGGCAGCUAGAAAGAAGGCGCAGCACCCUCCUGUUCUGAGGGGCCUUGUGGGUGGGGGCUGGGAGGCCGGAAAUGGGGGCUCAGCACCUAGCACUGGUGCAGGCCAGACUCAAGGGCAGACAGUCACAGGGCUGGGACCCUCACACGAGGCCCCCUGAGCAAACUGAGCUGGUCUAGACUUUGAGAACCUUCGACAACAGGCCGACACCCCCUGAGCUCAUCACAUACACAGGCUCCUGAGGGGGGCCCUCCCCAGCUGCUCCUGGGGGGGCCAGGCGGGCAGGUGUGGAUGGUGCAGAGCCCGAACCAGCGAAGGUCCACCCUGUCCCCUGCCUGGCCAGGCCCAGGUGCUCCAGAGGCGUCAAGAAAAUAGAACCAGUGUCUGCCCCAUCUGGUUGCCCCUGGCCUGAGGAGAAGCCCCCAGCCUGUUGGCCACCCACCUGGGAACUGGGUACUGAGGCUGGAGACCCUGGGCUGCCAUAGCAGGCGGUGGCCGGAACCUUCAGACGCCCGGAGCGAGGCCCACUCACGAGCAUAGUGACGACAGGCAGAUGGCCCGGCUGCAUCCCCACAGGGAAAGGCUGUCCAGGGGCCCAGCCCCCACCAGGCAAGAGGCCCCAUGACUCCACGCCACCCCCAGGCCACCGCUGUGGGGUGCCUCAGUCUGCUCUAAUCAGAGGGACCUUGCCCCCACUAGCCUUGGGCAGGUGACCCGUGGGAACACAGAGGGCUGAGCGUGGAUGAAGAAGACUCCGGCGGGAAGGGCCUGGCUCCCCAGCAAAGGAGCCACAGCCUCACUCGUCCUGCAACAAGACUGGCACGGCCACCUCCGGAGGUGACAGCAGCAGGGGUAAUGGUGACAGGCAGCUAUUGAGCGCCUGAAGAGUGACCUCAUCAGACCCUCAGUGCAGCCCAGUGAGGCGGGGUCUGUCAUCCCGUUUGCAAGAGGAAACUGAGGCUGAGAGGGGUGGGGCUUGCUAGGGUCACCCAGCCAGCAGGUAGUGGAUGUGGCCCAAACUCAGUCCCCAAAGCCCACACUUGCUCACCAGGCACUGCUGCAGAAGCCCUCCAGAACUCCCCGCUCAGUCAGUCCCCGACAGGGUGGCAGGCAAGGGGGCAGGCGGGCACCCACACAGAUGUGCAGGGGUGACGACUGAGACAAGCCUGGAACUUGGCCCCAUGUUGGGGAGACAGGCAGGGCAGGGGCCCUGGGCUCAGAGCCAGCCUCCUCCUGAGGUCCGCCCUCACCGGGACCUGAGGAGCCCCGUGCCUGAGCCUGAGGGACUACUGCAGACCCCACUGUGGUCUCCAGGACACACCCAGGGAUGUGCCACACAUGGACACACCACACAUGCACAUCCCUGCCCGGAGCUGCCUCUCCGCACACCACAGCAUUCAGGCCCAAGGCUCACAAGACGGACGAGGCCUCUUGCACUCUCUGAGAUAAAGGCCAAGGAGGCUGGGCCCGGGGACUUUGCAUCCAGGCAGAGGCCCCACGUGGAGGGCGGGCGAGGAGGCGGAGAGAGCUGGGCAAUGGACUAGGACAAGGUGGUAAGAAAAGAACAUUUUA